rnacentral:rRNA from 1 species
UGGGGAAUUGUUCGCAAUGGGCGCAAGCCUGACGACGCAACGCCGCGUGGAGGACGAAGACCUUCGGGUCGUAAACUCCUUUCGAUCGGGAAGAACGGCUUCCGGGUGAACAAUCCGGGAGAGUGACGGUACCGAGAGAAGAAGCCCCGGCUAACCCUGUGCAAGCAGCCGCGGUAAUACAGGGAGGGCAAGCGUUGUUCGGAAUUACUGGGCGUAAAGGGCUCGUAGGCGGCCAACUAAGUCACACGUGAAAUCCCCAGGCUUAACCUGGGAACUGCGUGUGAUACUGGAUGGCUUGAAUUCGGGAGAGGGAUGCAGAAUUCCAGGUGUAGCGGUGAAAUGCGUAGAUAUCUGGAGGAAUACCGGUGGCGAAGGCGGCAUCCUGGACCGACAUUGACGCUGAGGAGCGAAAGCUAGGGGAGCAAA